rnacentral:lncRNA from 1 species
GUAUCGCCUGGCGACGUAAUUUUAUCAGUAUUGCAGUAAUGUAGAUAGUCAGGAACUGAAAUGGAAGGGAAAGCUUUCUAUUGUAACUGUACACCAGUUUGCUUUCAUUUUUCAUAACUUACUAGAUUUCAGUACUACACAUGCGUCUUAAUUCUUUCCUUUGUAGUGAUACGCACCUAGCGUAUCGACGCGGUAUACUAGUGCCUUUUUUCCCUAUACGGGAAUCAUUUGAGACAAGAUUUUUAUAUAUAACGUUCGAGAGUCUUAUAUCAGUCUUAUAUAUGGCGUCCAAGAGUACAUUCGUUAUUAAUAAUAAUAAAUGUUAUAUUUUCUUAUUGGUAAAUUCAGAUAGUGUAUAUAAAUUUUCCGAAUAACCUUUCUCCAUCGUCCUGGUUCCCCACACGUUCAAUAUCUAAUUAAACAACACAUUGAACAGGAAGUAAUACGCCAUAAUAUUACUAUGUUAUCUUAAAUUUCCAUCAACACUACCUUGCUCCUACACUUUUUUAACCAUCAAUCAUACAAUGUUAACGCAGAGUGUACACGUGAAGUUUAAUCAACAGUAAUCAACAGAAGAUUGAUUUUUUCUAUGUCAUGUUAUUUUUUUUAAAUAAAAACGAUAAAACUAAA